UCUCCCAGUCUCCUCAUCUCCCACGUUACCUCCAUCAAACAAAUGACAACCAGCAACCUCCACGGGCAGGGCUCCAGCCUCCUCCUCUCUUUCUCACCGGUACCAGCGGCCGCACCGCGCCGCUCUAGAGCCUUGCCCUUCCCAAGCCUAUCGUCCUCCUCUCUCUCUGAUCGCCGUGGGAGCCCUGCCUAAAUUCCUUUGUCCAAGGCCCGUUUCUGCAUCGUGCUUGGCUGAGGGAAGAAACAGGAGGCCGAGGGAGGAAGCGGUGUGUGGGCCAGGAGAGCAGGUUCGGGGAACAGCGCAGACGGGGGCGCGCUGGUGACGCUGCGGGGAGGAGCGCCGGGAUGGAGGUGGCCCUCACGUCGGCAGCACCAUCAACAUGUGCCGCCAGAGCUCAAGCCUGACCAGACCGGUCAUUGUGGAUUUGACGGGAUUGGUUACAUUGGUAGUGUUUGUGAUGUUUCUGAUGGGUUAUGUACUUCUGGCCGAUGAUUCUGUGUCCGGUUUGUUUGUGGUUUGUUUGUUGAAGCGAGUUUUUUCUUAUCAUCUUCCUGGUUUGUCUGAUCCUUGCUCAUCCUUUUUCCUAAUUUUGGUGGCCUUCUGAUUCAUUUUCGAUUCUUCUAUCUUCUGUACUUCUUUCAGGUUUCUAUGUGAAUCCUGGUUGGCUUGAGGAUGCAGGGUCAUUGGAAAUUGGAGAGAGGAGUUCCUACCGGCCUCGCCAAUGGCUGAUCCAUGUCUUCUUGCUCUAUACGGCAUCAGCUUAUGCUAAAUGUUGAUUUCACUGGUUUUGUUGGGCUUUCAUGUGGCAUUUGCAAGCAAGAUGGUAAGCCUGCACUUUGUUUCUUGCCAAAAUAUAGCAUAAGGAGCGACUAUGCCCUCUUAAAGAUACUUUCUUGCACAUGUACAUGAUCUGUCAGUAUUGUCUAUAGAAAUAUUUUUCCUGCACCAAGGAUGCAAAUAUUUUCUCAUAUUUCCCUGCUUGUGGCCUCCCUUCCAUCCUCUGUGGCGAGUCGUACGGCGUGCGAGAUCGUCUACCGCAGAUCGAGGUUGGCCUCCAGGCUGUGGUGAUCGGUAGCCGUCGGUGUGGGCCUGGAGUAUGGUGUGCUUCCUGUACAGGAUUAACACUAAAGAAGGUGCCAUACCACACAUAAAGUACGGCCAAUCUGUUUUGCGGCCUUCCUUUGGGCAUUAUGGAAGGCAAGAAAUAACAAUCCAUUCAGUGAAUUAACACAACAAGAUCUAAACUCUUUAAUAAAUAGCAGAUUAGCUAAUGAGUCUCAGUUAUGGGCAGCAAGGUAGACUUCAGCAAUGUAUAGCAUUAAGCUGUGGGCUGAUCAGUUUCGUCCCAACAACUAAAACUCAUAUCCACCCUCCUGUCUGAUUUUCCUUUCUUUGUACGUUUCAUUCUUUUUAUUUUGUCUCCAUGAUGCAAAUGUAACAAUUGUCAGAGGGCUGAAUGAAGCUAUAAGUUAAAGGAUCCUCCACAUUUUUUAUUCAGAAAAAAACAUGCAAAGUAAUGUUGCCAAAAUCUAGGUGAGUAUAUUAGCCUACUCUCAUCCAUAUAUGUCUGAUUCUUUCUUCCCUUAUAAACCAUCAGUGUAAUAAUUACAAUUUGCAUUGACCAAUAUUAUGCCAGAUUGAGUAACCCUUCCCUGGUUUUUAGUUGAGAUAACAUCAUACAUGGAACGGAUAUGUGUUACACUUGGCAGAGUAUUUUUGUUUUACUGCAUGUCAACUUUAGAACAAUUAAAUAAGUGAUCUGAUGAUGAUUACAUAUUCUUUUCAUCAGUUUAGUCUGUAAGAAGGAACUGAGAGGGUUUUUUGCAGGUUGCGUAUUUUUUUUACUUUGCAAAUAGUUUCUGAAUAAGGUGAACUGUCGUCGGUUUCAACUUGAACAGAAAAAAGUUGGUAUUUAUCUACUUUCUAUGCCAUACUCUUACUCAUUACCGGUACAAUAUCCUUUUCUCUUCUUUCAAUCAGCAGUGGUUUCGCAUCUUAAGCAUGAUGUUUACUUUAUGGGCUUAUGACACGUGUGUGAGUUUGUGGAAGAAAACAUGCAUGUUCAGGUUUGGGUGAAGUUGCUAAAAGAUGGUGCAUUCCUGUUAUACUUUCAUUAGGAUUACCCUUUUAUGUCUUUGCAGAAGAUGCUAUCAGUUUUACUCCAGGAAUGGAUCACCAGUGGGGAGCUUGAACUGAUACAAUGGAUACCUGAAUAUGGUUCAGUUGGCUUCGUGGUAACCCAAAUUGUUCAGCUCAAAGUAACUGGCCUACCUUGCAACUUAAAUUAGUGUCAAUAAUUGAAUAUGUGUUAGCUCCAUUUUCUCUGGUGAGAACGCAUUCCACGGUGCCAAAUGACAGUGCGUCAGAUCUUAGCAACACAGCAUAGCUUACAAAUGUACUGCAUGGUCUGUUACUAUUGAAUCUAUAUCAACCAUUGUUCGGGUUAAACUUUUGCCAUCGCAUCUAGCUGAUUUGGCCAAAAUAUCUCCAGAUAGCAUGUGCAAGGUGUCCAUUGCUCGAUGUGUUCAUAUAUGCUGAUGCUAUCCUAGAUGGAGCGUUUUCUGUCUAAAUAUAGAAUCACGUUCAUGUUCCAAGGACUCAACUCGAAGAUCCAACAAUUGAUGGUUAUGGCCUCUCAUUGCUCAGACUAUCUUUGUCAAAUUGAGAGUCUAGAUAGGAGAACCAUGUAGUCAGUACUAUGUUUUCUGCACCUUUCUACCAAAGAUAUUAAAGACUGUCUUCUUCAGUUUUGUUCUAUGUCCUCUUGGAUGUAUAUGUGUGCAGUCAAUAAAUAUAUCAGGAGUUGCUCUUUA